rnacentral:rRNA from 1 species
GGUAUCGCCGUUAGUCAUGUGCAAAUAUGGAUAGCUGUUUUAGCCGUCUUUAUUGACUGGUUUAUAAGAGUUAUCAGAUAUCACUUUGAUUAAAUUAGAGUGCUUAAAGCAAGUGUGUUACUUGGAUAUAAAUGCAUGGAAUGGUGGAAUAUGUUGUUAUUCUAUUUGUUGGUUUUUGAAUGAUAAAAUGAUUGAAAGGAACUGUUGGGGGCAUUCGUAUUGUUGUGAGAGAGGUGAAAUUCUUAGACCACAGCAAGACGAACUACUGCGAAAGCAUUUGCCAAGAAUGUUUUCAUUGAUCAAGAACGAAAGUUAGAGGUUCGAAGGCGAUCAGAUACCGCCCUAGUUCUAACCAUAAACUAUGCCAACUAGCAAUUUGCUUUGUAUUUUUUAUGACUAAGUGAGAGGCCACGGGAAACCUAAGUAGGGUUAUGGGGGAAGUAUGGUUGCAAAGCUGAAACUUAAAGGAAUUGACGGAAGGGCACCACCAGGAGUGGAGCCUGCGGCUUAAUUUGACUCAACACGGGAAAACUUACCUGGUCCUGACACUAGAAGGAUUGACAGAUUGAUAGCUCUUUCUUGAUUUGGUGGAUGGUGGUGCAUGGCCGUUCUUAGUUGGUGGAGUGAUUUGUCUGGUUAAUUCCGAUAACGAACGAGACUCUAGCCUAUUAAAUAAUACACGGAAUUUUAUCUUCCGCGGUAUUUCUUAGUGGGAUCAAGCG